rnacentral:rRNA from 11 species
GAAUUAUUAUAAAGUAAGCAUGUUGCAUCAGAUCCCAUCUGAUCUCGGAAGCUAAGCAAGGUCAGCUCUGGUUAGUUCUUGGAUGAAGGGUUUGCCAAUGAAAACCAGGCUACAUUUC